rnacentral:snRNA from 1 species
AUACCUUUCUCGACCUUUUAGCUAAGAUGAAGUAUAGUAUAUGUUCUUAUUAAUUUAAUAUCUGAUAUAUGGGUUAUUAGUCAGCACAAUAUUAUUUAAUUUUUUAAGGGGAAAGGUACGACAAGGUAGUUUGCCACUUGGGCCUUGCGCGUCGCACUACAGCCCAAGCCAGGCGCACCUUAU